rnacentral:rRNA from 1 species
UACAGAGGGGGCAAGCGUUGUUCGGAAUUACUGGGCGUAAAGCGCACGUAGGCGGAUUGUUAAGUUAGGGGUGAAAUCCCGGGGCUCAACCCCGGAACUGCCUUUAAUACUGGCAAUCUCGAGUCCGAGAGAGGUGAGUGGAAUUCCGAGUGUAGAGGUGAAAUUCGUAGAUAUUCGGAGGAACACCAGUGGCGAAGGCGGCUCACUGGCUCGGUACUGACGCUGAGGUGCGAAAGCGUGGGGAGCAAACAGG